CGUGAGCGUUUGUAUAAAUACGAAUAACGUUAGGCCCAGGAUGACGCUCAUGCACGGGGGCGCAGCGAACAGAGCGCUCGCAGGUACGGACGCGGUGAAACGUGCACGGCUGUGGUUUGUGCCGAAGAGAUUCCGCUUCCCCUAACAUAUCGCCCCGGAAGACUAUUAAAGCCUCACCGUGUGAAUGCCGCCUAUUCAACGGGAACUCAUUGUUCGCAGCAAGUCCCAGAUCUCCAAUGUGAAAUUCCGCAGAUGCGGUGAAGUUAGAGAAGAAAACGUAAACAUGGCUGGAAAUUAAGAUGAAUAAUGCGAGGAACACGCAGGAUGCUUGAAGGACGUAGUGAAGAGGAUGUACUCGGCCAGCACAAAGCAGAGUGGAGAAGGCAGCGCUGCCUUUGAACCGCCAUUAGAUACGGACUGCGGACGGAGCCAAGAGCCACGCUGCCCCUA
rnacentral:lncRNA from 1 species